ACCUGUCUGGCUCAGUAGGUAGAGCAUGUGAUUCUUGAUCUUGCAGUCAUGAGUUCAAGCCCCAUGUUGGGCA
rnacentral:tRNA from 1 species